AGAGGCUGGCCGUGGACGGACCGCUCGCCAACCCGGUCAGGACCGGAAGGUAGCAGCCGUAACGAGUUUUUCCG
rnacentral:SRP_RNA from 1 species